rnacentral:pre_miRNA from 1 species
AUCAGCUGUGAAUCUUAUUAAGAGGUGGAUUCUGAUUCAGUAUGUCUGAGUGGGGCCUGAGAUUCUGCAUUUCUAACAAGCUCCCAGGUGAUGCUAAU